UACGUAGGGCGCAAGCGUUGUCCGGAAUCAUUGGGCGUAAAGAGCUCGUAGGCGGUUUGUCGCGUCUGCCGUGAAAGUCCGGGGCUCAACUCCGGAUCUGCGGUGGGUACGGGCAGACUAGAGUGAUGUAGGGGAGACUGGAAUUCCUGGUGUAGCGGUGAAAUGCGCAGAUAUCAGGAAGAACACCCGUGGCGAAGGCGGCUCUCUGGGACGGUACUGACGCUGAGACGCGAAAGCGUGGGGGAGCGAACAGG
rnacentral:rRNA from 1 species